GCUUGAGCAAACUCGAGACAUAAUUAACCAGCCGAAGCAGAGAAACGGGGUGCUCGAGCUGGUCCCACCGCAGCUGUCCGGAUCCUUUUGGAGGCACCUGUUUUCUUUCAUUUUUUUUCAACAAAAAAACCUGGAUUUGCAGGAACGAUGCCGGGAUCGUUUGUCGCUGUGACUGUUGCUUUGGUUUGGCGGCGGCGCCACGUUUCUGGGCAGAAACAUCUCCAAAACGGGAACGCAACUCAUUUAACUCUUCUCACCUCUUUCUGGGCCGAUACCCUCGUUUUCCCGGCUUUGCGGCAAAAGCCGGCGGUAAAAAUAGGCGAGCUGUGAAAAUACUAGUGUUCUUUGGGUCUAAAACAGAGCAAAAUGGGGGUGUGUGUGGGGGGAAGGCUGGUCUUUGUGGCCUCGUCCCAAAAACGGAGCCGUUUUGUCCCCCGUGGCUGCAAAAAGCUGGAAAAAAAACAGGAAAAAGGGAAUAUUCUUUGCGGCCUGUUUUGGGGUGAGAUAAAAGGGAAUCAGGGCUCAUGGCGGUAAAACCGGCAUUUUUUUGGCAGGGGCGGAUGGUUUUGGUUGGGGAAAAAAUUGCUACCAGGGGCAAAAACCUCUGGGUGCCUCUGAGCCCUGUGGAGAUGCUGCUUUGGCGGAUUAAAUGACCCUUUUUCCCUUCCUGGCUGCUGUUAAUUAAAGCAUUAAUUAACCCCCCCCAAUCUAAUUUAAUUUAAUUUACUUAUUUAGUUGCUUUUAGGGUGGAUGAGCCCCUGCAAAAGCGGCAUGUGGCAGCCUUAACCGCCACCUCACUGAAUGCCGCUUUCACCUCUUAUUUUGGGGGUGGUUUUGAGGUAUUUUGGGGCAAUUUUGAGGUAUUUUGGAGCAAUUUUGAGGUAUUUUGGAGCAGGACGUUCCGAAUCUUGCCUCUUUCCCUGCUGGGAAAACCGGGGUUGAAGGAGCGGGUGAGGCCGCGGCCGCUCAGUGUCACCUAGCAGAG
rnacentral:lncRNA from 1 species